rnacentral:lncRNA from 1 species
UGUGUCCUAACCGACUGUGGUCCUUCCCAGAUAAACUGGCAUCUGCUUUGUUGUAUUUAUGAUUAAGCUUGGGAUUUUUUUUUUUAAUGCCAGCUUCAUAAAAGCAAACGUUCCUUUUAAGAUUUGAAUUUCAGAUCAGUCUUAAUGGGUGUUUGUGUGUGAAGCUCUUUCAGAAACAUAGUUGGCGAAUUCAGUUUGUAUAAAGUUAUUUCUUAGUGAGAUUGCGAGCCUGGCUCCUUGAGAAAGUAUGGUGAACGGAGUGAUGGGAAAACCUCCGUUCAGAACAAGGCCAAGGAGAGCAGUUAGUUCUUGAUCUUUCUUACCCCGUCUGUUGCGGAUCCUGUAGGACGACAGUGCGGUUUGAUCAUAAGCACUUGAUGUCCAUGGAACAUUGAAAAGCAAGUUAGACUAGUGAACUAAUACCUCUAAAAGUUUCUGUAUUGCAGAGACCAUUUCUUUUCCAGACAUGAGGCAUGGAAGAGAUUCAUAUAAAUGCUUUUUAAUUUAACCUCAUGCCUAUAAAACGUAACACGGAUUUUCGCCUAUUUUACCACGUUGGUUUCCUUGCGAGGCAGUCUUCUCUGGGAAUGCCAGGAAGGCUGGCC